rnacentral:piRNA from 1 species
UCUGGACAUUUCUCCAUUUCU